CAGAGUGUCAGCGUAGGCGAGUAGACCAACGGAAAGUUUCGCUCGAACUCUCGCGAGAAUGUUACAAUAUUCGAGCAUUGUCAACGAAGCCUACCGAAACGACUGCGAACGCCUCGAAAGAUCGAUAAGACCAUUGAAGAGAGACUCCUAGAUACUGCAAUCGAACGAGCAAUCGGGAUCUUUCAUCUGGACGUAUGUAUAUAAUAUCCAGCAGCAGGUUCUACAAAUACGAAAUACCUAUCGUCAGAGGAAUAUAUAAUCGACUAUAAGGGAUGACUGGAGACGUCUAAUUGAUUGGCUGGUUUGAAACAUAUCGGGAUAGUGGAUCCGAAACACGAAGAACCCGGAUAAAGAAAAAUUGGAAAACAAGAAGAUCUCAAAUUUCAAAUUUCUAUCACAUUUUCACAUCACCGAACUUCCAUCCGAUUACAUUUUACCAUCGUAUAUUACGUAUAGGUGUACACACUUUCUCAGUUUCCUAUCUUUUCUUUCGGUUGUGCACAAGGAAAAUAAAACAGACUUUCAGUACGAAGAGAGAACAGAUCUAUACUAUCGUGACUGAUAUGUACUUGUAAAUUAUAAUAUAUAAUCUAAUCUUUGAUGCAUCAUAAACGUUUGUAAUAUCAUCAGUUUAUUACUUGCACUCGUUGGAAUAAGAGUUGUCCAUCGAAAUGAAGUUCAACGAUAAAUCGGAACACAUUAUAAUUUUCGUUAUGUUGUAACUCGCGUGUUUAUUUAACUAAGUAUACGUACGAGGGUUAAUUGCAACAUCACUGCAAUAUUUUUCGCUACGAAAUUCACGACUACAUAACGAUGAAAGAAACACAGGAAUAAAAUAAUCGUAUAACUAUAUAAAUACAUUGCGUCAACUUUGAAAAAGACAAAAAAAGAAAGAAAAACUGAAGGAGAAGGAAAAAAAUUUCACUGCGACUUUAUUUUACGUACC